rnacentral:snoRNA from 1 species
CUCGCGGAUGAUCCAAACCAUGCAUAGUUCACACUGAAUUCAAUGUGGAACACUAACAUCUUGUCUUUCGCUCCUAACUGAUCCCCCUU